rnacentral:misc_RNA from 1 species
GCACCCCUCCACCUGUAAUUCUAAUGAUCUUGUUACUAUAGGGUAUUUGUUUAGGAUGCAGUUGUUAUAUCUUGUAUUAGUGUUAUUGUGUUUUAUGUUAUACCAUUAGUUAAUCUAUGUGAUAAUUGGUAUAAUCUAUGUGAUUAUGGUCUAAAGCGUUUUUGAUAAGCAAGUUCUUUGCAUCAUUUGGUUCAAGCUUUACUAAGUGGAUUUAUUUGCGUUUAAUGAAAGGUAAAACCAUGGCUUUCAUUUCAUUGGACAAAGAAUCUUAGUAUCAGCCACUAAUAUUUUUCUUUUA